CGCAAGCAGCUGUUCCAGAUCCAUGCGUUCUCCUUACGGGCGUAAAACUCCCUUGUAAAUGCAUCAUGGGCUGAUUCUGGUAAGGCAGGAUAGGAUGAAGGUUGCCUUAGUGACCAUCACGCACGUUGUCGUCGUGAUUAUAGCCAAGGAAUUGGAGAUCGUUAAGGCAAGAAGAAUUUGCAACGUUACUGAGACCAGUCAUUUGGUGGUGCCCAAAUCUUCUCGUUUGAGUGCCCGGUUGAUCUCGUUUGAGUGCCUGGAUAACGGCGUGGGCUUUUGGCUCAAGGUCACUUGAAGGUCGCGGAUAGCGGGAGCUAAAAGAAUUUUGUGCUUUAAAGAAAAUGGUAAACUCGGUGGUAAUGCAGUUCCACUCAACGUGAAAGCUGGGGAAGUGCAGAGCAGUGAUUCGCCGGUGUUUGUCUUGUGUUUCCUUGUGUUUAUCUUCUUUUAUCCUGUGUUUAUCUUGUGUUUAGCUAUUCUUUUCAAGACGGUGGGAUUAGUCUGCCUGCGCUGGCAAGCAAGUUCAGCUUCUCGGGCGCACACCGCUUGAUCAGCCGUGCGUCGGCGCUGUCUUUCACGGGCGAGCGCCCGCUGACGCUCCAAGCGUGCUUGCUGCACGGCGUCCAUGGUGGGAAAGAGCGUGCCGGAACGCGGGAACGGCUGUCU